rnacentral:rRNA from 1 species
UGGGGAAUAUUGCACAAUGGGGGAAACCCUGAUGCAGCAACGCCGCGUGAGUGAUGACGGCCUUCGGGUUGUAAAGCUCUGUCUUCAGGGAAGAUAAUGACGGUACCUGAGGAGGAAGCCACGGCUAACUACGUGCAAGCAGCCGCGGUAAUACGUAGGGGGAGAGCGUUGUCCGGAUUUACUGGGCGUAAAGGGAGCGUAGGCGGACUUUUAAGUGAGAUGUGAAAUACCCGGGCUCAACUUGGGUGCUGCAUUUCAAGCUGGAAGUCUAGAGUGCAGGAGAGGAGAAUGGAAUUCCUAGUGUAGCGGUGAAAUGCGUAGAGAUUAGGAAGAACACCAGUGGCGAAGGCGAUUCUCUGGACUGUAACUGACGCUGAGGCUCGAAAGCGUGGGGAGCAAACA